AUGAAUUUAAAUCCUCGCAGACUUGACGCUUCUUCUCUUCGGAUAACUCUGACAGAUGACGGUGGAAAGUUUCUUCAGAUCGACCUAAAGUUCUCAGCAAGAACACAAAAUAGAUGCUGCUACACCAGUAAAUCAAGCUGAAGCUGGAUUCAAGAGUUUGCUCAAGCGUAAAAUAUGAAUGGACAGAGACAUUGACUAGAAACAAAGAUCAACAGUAGCAGGAAUGUUGUCCGAAAGGAGGAGUUUGCAUAGCCAUCAGUUACAGACGAAUCAAGAGGAAUGACUGCAAGUUUGGAGAGAAUGAACUUUCCUGGAGACUGAGCUGCCCUGAUGGUGGAUAUUCUAUCUGCCACGGGAACAAUCAGAUAUUCAUCCCGUCCUCAUCCUGGUCCCACAGCUGUGUAUGUGGACUGUUCGUCUGGCAUCCUGUCCUUCUACAGGGUCUCAUCCGACACAGAGCUCCAUCUCUACACCUUCAACACCACCUUCACUGAACCACUUUAUGCUGGCUUUGGGUUCACCUCAUAUAACUCCUCAGUGUGUCUGAGGAGUCAUGUUCUCUAUAGUAAACAUGACAGUUAUUUGACAAAACCUUAAUCUUUAAUAAAUAAGUAAAAUAAAAUUAAUUUGUGAAUUUCAAGCUCUCACAAUUUUUCCCGUCUCAAUCUUUAAUGUGCUUUGAAACUAAAUCUGUGUUCGAUCAACAUUUUUCUGCGUCUUUGACCACAUUCAAACUACACGUUUUCUAUUACAAUAUUGCAAUCUGUUUUCAAUUUGUAUGUAUUUUUUCUAUUCCUGGAUGUUGAAAUCCCUUCUAAGCUUGUGAUUAUUGCUUCUCACAAGAUAAUCAUUAUUGAUCUGUUUGCAUAUAUGCAAUGAAAAGAAAUCCAUUUUAUGAGGAUUCAUUCACUUUGAUCAAAAAAAUACAAAUCUUAUUUGAUUUGACAUUUUUAGUCUACAAUAGGGCAACUGUAGUUUUCAUUCAGAUAGCAGCAGGUCUGUUUGGUUAUUUUUUUUCCCUUAAAUGUAAUAAUUGUUUCAAAACAUGUUUUUGUAUUUGCUCGUGUUAUCUUUAUUUUAUAUCAAAUUGUAUUUGUUCUGAAGCACAUAAGUGUGUCCAAAAAAACUGAAGAUAAUUAUAAAGUUUAGAAACUGUAUGACAAGAAACGGUGGAUGUAAAAAAACUUCUUAAAGUUCAUCAUAUUUUUGUGGAAUGUAUUACUUAUGAAUCAGAAAGAAGGCAGUUCCCAAAAUAAAGAAAAACAAUGAACAUUA